CCUACGGGUGGCUGCAGUCGAGAAUCUUCCGCAAUGGGCGCAAGCCUGACGGAGCGACGCCGCGUGUAGGACGAAGGCCUUCGGGUUGUAAACUACUGUCACGGAUUAAGAAUGCUGCGGUGUUAACAGCGCCGUAGUUGACGUAAGUCCGAGAGGAAGCACUGGCUAACUCUGUGCCAGCAGCCGCGGUAAUACAGAGAGUGCAAACGUUGUUCGGAAUUACUGGGCUUAAAGCGCACGUAGGCGGCUCCGCAAGUGUCGGGUGAAAUCCCACGGCUUACCCGUGGAACUGCCCGGCAGACUGCGGAGCUAGAGGAUGGUAGGGGAGAGCGGAACUCCAGGUGGAGCGGUGAAAUGCGUAGAUAUCUGGAGGAACACCGGUGGCGAAGGCGGCUCUCUGGUCCAUAACUGACGCUGAGGUGCGAAAGCUAGGGGAGCAAACGGGAUUAGAUACCCCUGUAGUC
rnacentral:rRNA from 1 species